CUAUUCUUUGAUGCUUUUUAAGUGGGGUGCUAAAUUUCUUGAACUUUAUUGUAUUACUGUAAAUUUCUCUUUUUGUAUUUGCUUUAUGUAUUUCAGUGCUCCUAUGUUGGGUGCAUAGAUAUUUACAAGUGUUAUAUCCUCUUGUUAGAUUGAUAAUGUUAUCAUUAUGUAAUGACCUUUGUUUUGUAUGUAGAGUCAUUUU